CGAGCCAGUAGGCCUAAUCACUCACAUCAAGAUCUAUGUGUGCAACGGUGCAUCUCCAUGCCCUGUGAUCGUCCAUCUCGUCCUCGUCGGUUCCGUCGACAUCUUGAUGCAUCACGAUCAUCCGUCUCGUGGGUCCCGCUAUCGCAUCCACGCUCCCGCUGCGCCUCCUCAUGUGAUUACAACUUAAUCAUAGGCACGCAGGCCCGACAAUAAACGAGAAAUAUAAUGGAGGCUCGCAGACCUCAAUAAUAAUAAUCACAAGUACACACAUCAUACGGUCCAUGAUCAUCCGUCCACACAUCAUACAUCACAUGUAUAAAUAAUCAUCAUCAUGUAGGACUACUAGAUAAUAAUAAAAAUAAUAAUGAAC
rnacentral:lncRNA from 1 species